AUCUUUCAGGAAUAAAAUAUGCUUCAUCUGGAAACUGAAUUUGAAACUGAUAUCGAUUUAUGCAUAUUUAUAAACGCAACAAACUGAAAAUAAAUCCUUUCAUUACGUAUACGUAUUAUUGACUCAAAGUUUCACAGCAGAAGGAUUUCAUUCAAGUCCUGCUACAAUUUCGUGGUAUCUUCGCCCUCUGGAAUAAUUAGCAUUUCUAGCGGAAACGGAAACUUGUCGGAAGCAGGAAUUGUUUAAAAUGUCGGAGGCGACGGCGGCGCCUCUAGUAACGGAAGAGAAAUAUAUGGAAAACAUUACGAAGCAAUAAAAAGAAGUGACGAGGGUGAAUUAUUUCUACUCAGAUACCCAAUAGUAUUAGUACUGGGCCGAGGGUGGAAGGACCGACACAGAGGGCGUCGCGCGCCAUCGGGGUAACGUCCAGACACGCGUCGGUCGUUAGCCGGAUCGCGAACAAAGAAAGAAGCCAUCGUUUUCGCCGGCCAGAAUCGACCGCCAAGAUGAGUUCCGCCGAUCAGAAGAGCGGAGUGCAAGUAGAGAAAGAACCAUCCGAUAAAGACGGUAUAACCGGUGAAGUUCAGACUGAUAUCGCUCGCAAGAGAUCUUCCUCGGAGGUGAACAACGUCGACCGAGUCAAACAGAAAGUUCUCAAGACCGACGGUCGAGGUGAGUGGACGCGAAAAUGUGGUCGGCGGAUUGGCGCCUUUCCUUAUAGUAAAGUAUUUUUUGGAUGCACUCUGUAUAGAUAAUGACCGGGAAAAUGGAGAAUCGGAAGAGAAGUAUCCAGUAGACGACGACGACGACGAGGCCGUACCGGAUGGAGAUGAAUACGACGACGAGGACGAGGAGGAUGAAAACGAUGACGAUGCGGCCGAGGACGAAGAAGAGGAGGAAGAGGACGACGCCUAGAACAUUCGCGCCCGGCUGCCGGCACGCUGGCUGGUGACGGGAAAAUCGUUGACCAGUUUCUUUCCGAGCGGCGGCAGCGACGUCAAAACCGGGCGGUCGUCCACUACAUUUUGUACCGCCGGCCCGAUGGUUGGCGUCGCCCCAUCCGUCCAGACUGGCCCCAGCCGGGCCGCUUCCGUUCGGCACUCGACCCGGCUUGGGUAAUCGUGCCCGGGAUGGGAAGGCGUUUUCCUCGUGGGGCCGCGGUGGGCCCGUAUAGGAUGUGGCCAGUCGCUCCUCUUUUUUUAAUCCGGGAUUACCAUUGAUAAAUAGUAAAACACAUUUAUCUCAUUUUACGCUAUUUAAAGUCGCGUUUUUCUAUUUAUUUUGCGAUGGAAGUUUAAAAAAAAAAGUACUGUACUUAGUUGGUUCUUUCCUUUGCUAAACUUAGUGUCCUACUUUUGGCCCCGAGCCACCUUUUUUUUUAUGUACUGUGUAAGAGUGAACUGAAAAGCGGAUGAUCCCUUUCUAUUGAAAAAAGGGGAACACCGCGCCACUGGUACAAUAAAGUCAGUUUUGUCUGUCGUCAUUCUUUUGUGUUUAGUUUUCCUGGUAACAGAGGCGUAGAGAAGGUAUUACGCGCUUCAGGGAUAAAAGAAAAAUUUGCACCCCUAAUCACUUGAUCCUAAUAAUUAAAUACGCUUUAUAGAAAACUAAAUUUGAAAAGACAAGUUAUUUAAUGAAAUUAAUUGAUUUUAAAUUAAAUUUUUGCGAAAAAUAAUAAUAAUAAAAAAAAAACAGCUUAAACAAUGGUUA
rnacentral:lncRNA from 1 species